rnacentral:rRNA from 1 species
CCUUUAGGUCUGACAUAAUUCCGCGAAAGCGGGACUAAUAUCAGAUGAUGCAGCGGCUCGACAUCGAGACAGUUGUUAAACCUUCGGGGCCUAAAGAUGAGCCUGCGUCUGAUUAGGUAGUUGGCGGAGUAAAAGCCCACCAAGCCUGCGAUCAGUAGCUGGUCUGAGAGGAUGAUCAGCCACACUGGAACUGAGACACGGUCCAG